rnacentral:rRNA from 1 species
UACAGAGGGUGCGAGCGUUAAUCGGAAUUACUGGGCGUAAAGCGCACGUAGGUGGCGACGUAAGUCGGGUGUGAAAGCCCCGGGCUCAACCUGGGAAUUGCAUUCGAGACUGUGUUGCUGGAGUACGGAAGAGGAGGGCGGAAUUCCCGGUGUAGCGGUGAAAUGCGUAGAUAUCGGGAGGAACAUCAGUGGCGAAGGCGGGUUGCUGGGCCGACACUGACGCUGAGGCGCGAAAGCUAGGGGAGCGAGCGGG